CCGCCCCGGAAGUCUCCGCUUCCCUCCGUGGCCGCUCUAGCCUUGGGGGGAAGUCGUCAUCGCCCUCUCGUCUCUCCUUGUAGUUCGCAGGGCACCGGGGACCGAGAGGGAGAUGUCCUUUCCUACGUGAGUAACCUCCAGCCUAUCAAGAAAGAACAUCACCAGCCCUAGGAACCUAUCACAGUUACUUUUCUCCUUUCAAGAUCCUGGACAGUGGCAGUGAACAAUAGUUUCCAGCCAUGCAACUGUUAUUAGCAGGGAGCUGGCUUGGAAGUGGAGCAGCCAGGACACGAACCCUAUCUGGGAUGUCAGCAUUGCCUGCUGCAGCUUUACCUACUAUGCCACAACACUAACUCCUACUUUAUUCUUUUUGAUAAUAUUGUGAAAUUAUUUUAAUUUCAUUUCUAAUUGUUCCUAUAUUGACUUUUGUAUUCUUAUUUUCAUGCCUUAUUG